UUCGGUUCGACCUACUUAGUCAAGUUGGAUGAUUUGAGUACUCAGACCAUGAAAUGAACAUCGGUACAAAUGGAAAUGAAAAUUUCUCUUGUUACCAAUCAAUUACAUUGAACACACCUUGCUGGAAAGGAAAUGGGUUCUGUUCAUUAAAAGAACUGAAUUCUUCAAGCACCAGAGGCAUGAGACGAAAUGUUACAACCUGUGGAGGAACUGGGAAUGGAACUUGAUGUUGGAGAGACACUAUCCAUAUUCUGUCUAGUAAUAUGGGCAAUAAAUGAAUCUAAUUCAGCUUUAGAUGUGCCGCCUUCCUCAGUUGACCGUCUAACGACAGCAGCCAACUCCUCAGCCUGUUUUCGCAGCGUAUUUCCUUCUUCCGAUGCCAUUAAUCUUCUCACAACAUUCUCAAUAGUGGAAGCCUUCACCAGUUCCUCCCUCCGUUCCCAUUCCCUCACAAUGAGACCUGUUUGAACACAAAAUAUAAAUGAAUAAAUUUGUCUGUUCUGUAAUAAUUUAUUUAAACUUUUAAAUAUGGUGGUUCGAGAUACCUGUUUUCAGUAUUUCUGUUAUGAGCACAGCGUUUCUUGGUUGGUCAGAAUGCAUAGGCCAGGCUGCAAUUGGCACUCCCAUGGUAAUGCUUUCUAAGCAUGAAUUCCAGCCACAAUGGCUCAUGAAUCCACCAGUUGAUGGAUGGGAAAGAAUUUCUGGCUGUGGUGCCCAAUCUCUCACCACCAUCCCAAACUCUACGACUCUUUCCUCGAAUCCGUCUGGUAAUUCAGGUCGUCUAACUUCACCGUCGAACACGUUUCCUUUAUCGGCGUCCCUCAGCACCCAAAUGAACUUCUGUUUGCUCUGUUCUAAUCCUAUUGCCUGCUCUUUGAUUUCUUCGUCCGACAAUGAAGUCAUCGUCCCGAACGAUACAUAGAUGACGGAUUUUGGAGCUUGUUUGUCAAGCCACUCCAAACAUUUGUGUUGGCUAUUAGCAGAUAAGGAUUUUGAUGGAAGAAUUGGUCCAAUUGCCCAUAAUUUUCUAUUCUCAGCAACCUCUUCCCUUUCUAAUAGAUCAACAAAAGGCCCUUCUAUGGCUCUACAAGUAUUGUACAAAUACCCUGCUCUAUCUUUCAAUGGCUCUUCCUGUAAAGCUACAAAUUCAAAGACUUCAUCUGGGACACAUCCUUCGAAAGAGGGUAAAUUUUUUGGUUGUUCAAUAGGGAAUGGUUUUCCCAGGGAUUCCCAUUGAAAAGAGGAUUGAUAAUAAGCUGCAACACAGUUGAAAGCAUAGGAUUCUGCAUUAGGAAUCGCCUCCUGAACAACCGCAGCCAUAACUGGGUCAUGAAUAAUGACAACUCUUUUUGCUUGCUUGGACAUGUGUUCUACGUAUUCAGCCACCAGUUGGCGUAGGCUCAACAUGGCAUACCAGGCCGGCUGCAGCUGUGUUGGGAACUUAUU
rnacentral:lncRNA from 1 species